GUGGGAGGGAAGGGAGUUCCUCAGCCAAGACUGCGAGAGGGCGCAGGCCAGGCCGAGGGACCCCACCAGUGCCCG
rfam:Myotis lucifugus cont2.30074, whole genome shotgun sequence.